rnacentral:rRNA from 1 species
GGGGGGGGCGGGGGGGGGGGCUGGCAGGGGCGGGGGGAGGGGGACGGGGGGGGCGGGGGGGGCAGGGGGGCGUAACGCGGGGGAACCUGCCCUUAGGGUCGGAAUAACUCCCCGAAAGGGGUGCUAAUACCGGAUAAUGUCUUCGGACCAAAGAUUUAUCGCCUUUGGAUGGGCCCGCGUUGGAUUAGCUAGUUGGUAGGGUAAAAGCCUACCAAGGCGACGAUCCAUAGCUGGUCUGAGAGGAUGAUCAGCCACACUGGGACUGCGACACGGCCCAGACUCGUACGGGAGGCAGAAGUGGGGAAUAUUGGACCAUGGGCGAAAGCCUGAUCCAGCAAUGCCGCGUGAGUGAUGAAGGCAUUAGGGUUGUAAAGCUCUUUUACCCGGGAUGAUAAUGACAGUACCGGGAGAAUAAGCGCCGGCUAACUCCGUG